rnacentral:rRNA from 1 species
GAACGGUAACGCGGGGCAACCUGGCGACGAGUGGCGAACGGGUGAGUAAUGCAUCGGAACGUGCCCAGUAGUGGGGGAUAGCCCGGCGAAAGCCGGAUUAAUACCGCAUACGACCUAUGGGUGAAAGCGGGGGAUCGCAAGACCUCGCGCUAUUGGAGCGGCCGAUGUCAGAUUAGGUAGUUGGUGGGGUAAAGGCCUACCAAGCCUACGAUCUGUAGCUGGUCUGAGAGGACGACCAGCCACACUGGGACUGAGACACGGCCCAGACUCCUACGGGAGGCAGCAGUGGGGAAUUUUGGACGAAUGGGGGCAACCCUGAUCCAGCCAUGCCGCGUGCGGGAAAGAAGGCCUUCGGGUUGUAAACCGCUUUUGUCGGGGAAAGAAAUCUUCUGGGCUAAUACCCCGGGAGGAUGACCGUACCCGAAGAAUAAGCACCGGCUAACUACGUGCCAGCAGCCGCGGUAAUACGUAGGGUGCAAGCGUUAAUCGGAAUUACUGGGCGUAAAGCGUGCGCAGGCGGUCGCACAAGGCAGAUGUGAAAUCCCCGGGCUUAACCUGGGAACUGCAUUUGUGACUGUGCGGCUGGAGUGCGGCAGAGGGGGAUGGAAUUCCGCGUGUAGCAGUGAAAUGCGUAGAUAUGCGGAGGAACACCGAUGGCGAAGGCAAUCCCCUGGGCCUGCACUGACGCUCAUGCACGAAAGCGUGGGGAGCAAACA